AUGCCUCUCGCGAAAGAAAAAAAAAGAAUGAGAAAAUGUGUUUUUUUCGUUUCCGAGAGGCACGACCGUGCCUCUUGCGGAAGCAAAAUCAUUUCUCUCAUGGAAAAAAAAGAGAAAACACAUUUUUUUCUGUUUCCGAGAGGCAUGGUCGUGCCUUUCGCGGAAGCAAAACCGUGCCUUUCACGGAAGAAGAAAAAAAGAGAAAGCGCGUUCUUUUUUUCGUUUCCAAGAACACGGCCAUGCCUCUCACGGAAGCAAAAACAUGCCUUUUGCGAAAGUAAAAUCAUGCAUCUCACGGAAGAAAAAAAAAGAAAAAUGCAUUUUUUCGUGCAAUUUUUUGUAAAAAGACUAGAAAAGACCGAUGAAAAGAAUGAAAAGUUGUAA
rnacentral:rRNA from 1 species